rnacentral:lncRNA from 1 species
CGGCCGGCUGGGAUCUUAGAUAGGAGGGGUGGAUUUGCAAGGCCUAGAAUAGCUGGGGAGUGGUUUCCCCGCGGAAUCGGCCUCCCUGCCGCUCCUGCUUUGUACUGUGACGCUCAGCCUGUGAUGACUGGUGUGGAAUCCGCUGAGCCACCUUGGCCUAAGGAGACUUUACCACUCUGAGAUUGUAAAUCUGUAAAAUAGAGAUGUAGGAUUAGCCCAUACGGUAGUUGUGGUAAAUACUGUGAGACAAUAAGGGGCCUGGGACACAGCAUUCAAAUGGGAAUAAUGAAGGUCAAGACUGUGAUUCCUGUAUCUUUGACGCUCUCGGUAUAAGCACCGUCGUGGGCACAGGGCAGUGGCCUUUAUGCAGGAGUUUAAGAGGGAAUGAAGGAAUGAAUGGGCAAACUCUGGAGUUCCCAAGUAUUCUCUCCAGGAGCUGUUUCCAUUCUUUUCGUUUCCAGCAGAUUCAAGAGGCAAUUGUUGGAAUGUAAAAAGAGCACGGGACUUGGAGUCAAAUACUUAAGUCUACCAUCAAGUAGUUGUUAAGAAUUAAACAACAAUUUUUGUGUACCCAGUUAAAUGUGGGCUGCUUAGGAAUGAUGACUGUGUCUUAAUGAUCUCUGUAUUCUUAGUGACAUGUAGAAUCAUUGUGCCUGACACAUAGUAUGUACUCAGGAAAGAAAUGGAAAAUGUGGUUUUAGCAUUGAAGGCCGGGAGAGAGGGUCUAACAGACUACAAGCCCUGCCAGGAGCAGAGUAAGGGAAACAGAGGAGAAAAGUGUUUUUAGUCUGUGCCUGAAUGUAUUUACAUCUGUUUGUAGCCCAAAAGCCAAAAGCAUACAUACGCUUGGCUUUUCUGUAGCUAUGUUUAUGGCUUUACAGCAGAUUUUAUGGAGCUGCAAUUACUUUGAUCAUGAGGGACUGAUGCUAGUGGAUUUACUUCACCAAAUGGAACUCACUUUGUGGCUUCUGAAGAAGGGACCUUUGUGGACUGUCAUGGAGUAGUUAAGAGUGCAGGCUCUGAUUUAGUGAUCAGAGUCUGCAUUGUCAGGAAUGGGACAAAGUGAAGUUAUGUGGCACUUGAUAGGAUGCCCUGAGAAGAUUGCAACAUCACCCCUGUGAUAUUCCUGCUGAAGAUCCAUAACCUGGAUGUAAUCAUGAGGAUAUAUCAGACAAACCCACGUAAAGAGACAUGCUGUAUACAAAACUGUAAUCUUAGAAAGUGCCAAGGUCAUGAAAAUCAAAGAUAGACCCUGGAACUGUUCCAAACUGGAGGGGACCAAAGAGGCAUGACAACUAAACACAACACAUGAUUCUGAACUGGAUCUUUUUGCUUGAAAGGAAGUUACAGGGACAGUUGGAAAAGUUUAAAUGGGGCCUACAAUGCCGUGGUAAUGAUGUGUCCGUGUUAAUUUCCUGAUUUUCAUGGUUGCCUGUUAAGUUACAUCAGAGGAUGUUCUUGUUUGCUGGAAAGUAAAUCAAUGUAUUUGGCAGGGGAUAAGGCAUCAAAUGGUCACCUUAAUUUCAAAUUAUU